UAGUCAUAUGCUUGUCUCAAAGAUUAAGCCAUGCAUGUCUAAGUAUAAGCAAUCUAUACGGUGAAACUGCGAAUGGCUCAUUAAAUCAGUUAUCGUUUAUUUGAUGGUACCUUACUACUUGGAUAACCGUAGUAAUUCUAGAGCUAAUACAUGCGCCAAGCCCUGACUUCGGAAAGGGUGCAUUUAUUAGAUUCAAACCAUCGGCUACGCUGGGCAACUGGCGUUGGCCUUUGAUGGUGAGUCAUAAUAACUUAGCGAAUCGAAUGGCCUUGUGCUGUCGAUGCUUCAUUCAAAUUUCUGCCCUAUCAGCUUUCGAUGGUAGGAUCUUGGCCUACCAUGGCUAUACCGGGUAACGGGGAAUUAGGGUUCGAUUCCGGAGAGGGAGCUUGAGAAACGGCUACCACAUCCAAGGAUGGCAGCAGGCGCGCAAAUUACCCAAUCCCGACACGGGGAGGUAGUGACAAUAAAUAACGAUGCUGGAUUAUUUUUAAUCCGGCAAUUGGAAUGAGAGUGAAUUAAAUCUCCACUCGAGGAACCAUU
rnacentral:rRNA from 1 species